UUUGCUUUGUAACUGAUAGACUUUAGAAAAGCGUCGCCUGUCAUUCUCAUCAAUAAAAUCUAUCUGAAUAAAAGAAAAGGCCCAAAAUGCUAAAUCAAAGCAAAACUACAAAGAGUCACAAAGGAACUCCCUGAAAAUUCCAAGAAGAUGGGAUCCAGCUGACCUACAUUUGGGUGUCAGUGGAAACAGCUGAACAAUAUCCUUCCACAGCCCAGACUCCAAGGCAGCAUGUUGCAAUAGUGUCACAAUGAAGUGGGCACAAUGAGGAGGGCUUACAGAGGUCGAGUUUUAUUUCUAGCCCUGCCACUACUUACGAAUUCCAGUUGUUGCAGAGUACACAGGAUGGGCAGGGUGAAGGAACGACUAAUUUUUGAGCAGGAGGCAUCUAUUCAUAAACACAGAGCACAGUUCUGUUCCAGAAGCCUUUGAAAUGUG
rnacentral:lncRNA from 1 species